rnacentral:rRNA from 1 species
GAUGAACGCUGGCGGCGUGCCUAAUACAUGCAAGUCGAGCGAACAGACGAGGAGCUUGCUCCUCUGACGUUAGCGGCGGACGGGUGAGUAACACGUGGAUAACCUACCUAUAAGACUGGGAUAACUUCGGGAAACCGGAGCUAAUACCGGAUAAUAUAUUGAACCGCAUGGUUCAAUAGUGAAAGACGGUUUUGCUGUCACUUAUAGAUGGAUCCGCGCCGCAUUAGCUAGUUGGUAAGGUAACGGCUUACCAAGGCAACGAUGCGUAGCCGACCUGAGAGAGUGAUCGGCGACACUGGAACUGGGACGCGGUCCAGACUCCUACGAGAGGCAGCAGUAGGGAAUCUUCCGCAAUGGGCGAGAGCCUGACGGAGCAGCGCCGCGUGAAUGAUGGAGGUCUUCGGAUCGUAAAGCUCUGUUAUUAGGGAAGAACAGAUGUGUAAGUAGCUGUGCACGUCUUGACGGUACCUAGUCAGAAAGCAACGGCUAACUACGUG